rnacentral:rRNA from 1 species
GCUGAAUGUGGGGAUAAUUUAUCUCCGUGUUGUAGCUAACGCGUUAAGCACUCCGCCUGGGGACUACGGUCGCAAGACUAAAACUCAAAGGAAUUGACGGGGACCCGCACAAGCGGUGGAGCAUGUGGUUUAAUUCGAUGCAACGCGAAAGACCUUACCACUCCUUGACAUGGAGAUUAGAUCCUUCUUAACAGAAGGGCGCAGUUCGGCUGGAUCUCGCACAGGUGCUGCAUGGCUGUCGUCAGCUCGUGUCGUGAGAUGUUGGGUUAAGUCCCGCAACGAGCGUAACCCUCAUCCUUAGUUGCCAGCGGGUAAGCCGGGCACUUUAAGGAAACUGCCGGUGGUAAACCGGAGGAAGGUGGGGAUGAUGUCAAGUCAGCACGGCCCUUAUGGGGUGGGCUACACACGUGCUACAAUGGUGACUACAAUAGGUUGCAAUGUCGCAAGGCUGAGCUAAUCCGUAAAAGUCAUCUCAGUUCGGAUUGUCCUCUGCAACUCGAGGGCAUGAAGUCGGAAUCGCUAGUAAUCGUGGAUCAGCAUGCCACGGUGAAUACGUUCUCGGGUCUUGUACACACUGCCCGUCACGCCAUGGGAAUUGGCUUAACUCGAAGCUGGUGCGCUAACCGAAAGGAAGCAGCCAU